rnacentral:rRNA from 1 species
GACGAACGCUGGCGGCGUGCCUAAUACAUGCAAGUAGAACGCACAGUUUAUACCGUAGCUUGCUACACCAUAGACUGUGAGUUGCGAACGGGUGAGUAACGCGUAGGUAACCUGCCUGGUAGCGGGGGAUAACUAUUGGAAACGAUAGCUAAUACCGCAUAAUAUUGAUUAUUGCAUGAUAAUUGAUUGAAAGAUGCUAUUGCAUCACUACCAGAUGGACCUGCGUUGUAUUAGCUAGUAGGUGAGGUAACGGCUCACCUAGGCGACGAUACAUAGCCGACCUGAGAGGGUGAUCGGCCACACUGGGACUGAGACACGGCCCAGACUCCUACGGGAGGCAGCAGUAGGGAAUCUUCGGCAAUGGACGAAAGUCUGACCGAGCAACGCCGCGUGAGUGCAGAAGGUUUUCGGAUCGUAAAGCUCUGUUGUAAGAGAAGAACGGGUGUGAGAGUGGAAAGUUCACACUGUGACGGUAUCUUACCAGAAAGGGACGGCUAACUACGUG